GCCCGUUUGGCUUAGUGGUACAGCGUCUCACUCGUACCUGUCUGCGACAUGAGAAGAUCCUCGGUUCGAUUCCGAGAAUGGGCA
rnacentral:tRNA from 1 species